rnacentral:SRP_RNA from 1 species
CCCGGGUGCGGUGGCACGUGCAUGUAGUCCCAGCUACUCAGGAGGCUGAGGUGGGAGGAUCACUUGACCCCAGGAGUUCUGGGCUGUAGUACGCUAUGCCAACUGGGUGUCCGCACUAAGUCCAGCAUCAAUAUGGUGACCUCCCGGGAGCAGGGGACCACCAGGUUGCCUAAGGAGGGGUGAACUGGCCCAGGUCGGAAACGGAGCAGGUGAAAACUCCCAUGCUGAUCAGUAGUGGGAUCACGCCUGUGAAUAACCACUGCACUCCAGCCUGGGCAACAUAGCGAGACCCCUUCUCU